rnacentral:rRNA from 1 species
AGUGAACGCUGGCGGUAGGCCUAACACUUGCAAGUCGAACGGCAGCACAGUAAGAGCUUGCUCUUACGGGUGGCGAGUGGCGGACGGGUGAGGAAUACAUCGGAAUCUACUUUUUCGUGGGGGAUAACGUAGGGAAACUUACGCUAAUACCGCAUACGACCUACGGGUGAAAGCAGGGGAUCUUCGGACCUUGCGCGAUUGAGUGAGCCGAUGUCGGAUUAGCUAGUUGGCGGGGUAAAGGCCCACCAAGGCGACGAUCCGUAGCUGGUCUGAGAGGAUGAUCAGCCACACUGGAACUGAGACACGGUCCAGACUCCUACGGGAGGCAGCAGUGGGGAAUAUUGGACAAUGGGCGCAAGCCUGAUCCAGCCAUACCGCGUGGGUGAAGAAGGCCUUCGGGUUGUAAAGCCCUUUUGUUGGGAAAGAAAAGCAGCAGGUUAAUACCCCGCUGUUCUGACGGUACCCAAAGAAUAAGCACCGGCUAACUUCGUG